rnacentral:rRNA from 1 species
AGGUAAGCUACUAAGAGCGAAUGGUGGAUGCCUUGACUGGUAAAGGCGAUGAAGGACGUACUAGACUGCGAUAAGCUACGGGGAGCUGUCAAGAAGCUUUGAUCCGUAGAUUUCCGAAUGGGGCAACCCAAUGUAUAGAGAUAUACAUUACCUAUAUAGGAGCGAACGAGGGGAAUUGAAACAUCUUAGUACCCUCAGGAAAAGAAAUCAAUAGAGAUUGCGUCAGUAGCGGCGAGCGAAAGCGCAAGAGGGCAAACCCAGUGCUUGCACUGGGGGUUGUAGGACUGCAAUGUGCAAGAGCUGAGUUUAGCAGAACAUUCUGGAAAGUAUAGCCAUAGAGGGUGAUAGUCCCGUAUGCGAAAAACAAAGCUUAGCUAGCAGUAUCCUGAGUAGGGCGGGACACGAGGAAUCCUGUCUGAAUCCGGGUCGACCACGAUCCAACCCUAAAUACUAAUACCAGAUCGAUAGUGCACAAGUACCGUGAGGGAAAGGUGAAAAGAACUGAGGUGAUCAGAGUGAAAUAGAACCUGAAACCAUUUGCUUACAAUCAUUCAGAGCACUAUGUAGCAAUACAGUGUGAUGGACUGCCUUUUGCAUAAUGAGCCUGCGAGUUGUGGUGUCUGGCAAGGUUAAGCAAACGCGAAGCCGUAGCGAAAGCGAGUCUGAAUAGGGCGCUUAGUCAGAUGCUGCAGACCCGAAACGAAGUGAUCUAUCCAUGAGCAAGUUGAAGCUAGUGUAAGAACUAGUGGAGGACUGAACCCAUAGGCGUUGAAAAGCCCCGGGAUGACUUGUGGAUAGGGGUGAAAGGCCAAUCAAACUUCGUGAUAGCUGGUUCUCUCCGAAAUAUAUUUAGGUAUAGCGUUGUGUCGUAAUAUAAGGGGGUAGAGCACUGAAUGGGCUAGGGCAUACACCAAUGUACCAAACCCUAUCAAACUCCGAAUACCUUAUAUGUAAUCACAGCAGUCAGGCGGCGAGUGAUAAAAUCCGUCGUCAAGAGGGAAACAACCCAGACUACCAGCUAAGGUCCCUAAAUCUUACUUAAGUGGAAAACGAUGUGAAGUUACUUAAACAACCAGGAGGUUGGCUUAGAAGCAGCCAUCCUUUAAAGAAAGCGUAAUAGCUCACUGGUCUAGUGAUUUUGCGCGGAAAAUAUAACGGGGCUAAAGUAAGUACCGAAGCUGUAGACUUAGUUUACUAAGUGGUAGGAGAGCGUUCUAUUUGCGUCGAAGGUAUACCGGUAAGGAGUGCUGGAGCGAAUAGAAGUGAGCAUGCAGGCAUGAGUAGCGAUAAUUAAUGUGAGAAUCAUUAACGCCGUAAACCCAAGGUUUCCUACGCGAUGCUCGUCAUCGUAGGGUUAGUCGGGUCCUAAGUCGAGUCCGAAAGGGGUAGACGAUGGCAAAUUGGUUAAUAUUCCAAUACCAACAUUAGUGUGCGAUGGAAGGACGCUUAGGGCUAAGGGGGCUAGCGGAUGGAAGUGCUAGUCUAAGGUCGUAGGAGGUUAUACAGGAAAAUCCGUAUAACAAUACUCCGAGAACUGAAAGGCUUUUUGAAGUCUUCGGAUGGAUAGAAGAACCCCUGAUGCCGUCGAGCCAAGAAAAGUUUCUAAGUUUAGCUAAUGUUGCCCGUACCGUAAACCGACACAGGUGGGUGGGAUGAGUAUUCUAAGGCGCGUGGAAGAACUCUCUUUAAGGAACUCUGCAAAAUAGCACCGUAUCUUCGGUAUAAGGUGUGGUUAGCUUUGUAUUAGGAUUUACUCCGAAAGCGAAGAAACUUACAACAAAGAGUCCCUCCCGACUGUUUACCAAAAACACAGCACUCUGCUAACUCGUAAGAGGAUGUAUAGGGUGUGACGCCUGCCCGGUGCUCGAAGGUUAAUUGAUGGGGUUAGCAUUAGCGAAGCUCUUGAUCGAAGCCCGAGUAAACGGCGGCCGUAACUAUAACGGUCCUAAGGUAGCGAAAUUCCUUGUCGGUUAAAUACCGACCUGCAUGAAUGGCGUAACGAGAUGGGAGCUGUCUCAAAGAGGGAUCCAGUGAAAUUGUAGUGGAGGUGAAAAUUCCUCCUACCCGCGGCAAGACGGAAAGACCCCGUGGACCUUUACUACAGCUUGACACUGCUACUUGGAUAAGAAUGUGCAGGAUAGGUGGGAGGCUUUGA